rnacentral:rRNA from 1 species
UACGUAGGGGGCUAGCGUUGUCCGGAAUCAUUGGGCGUAAAGAGCGCGUAGGCGGCCAGAUAAGUCCGGUGUGAAAGUCACAGGCUCAACCUGUGAAUGCCGCUGGAAACUGUCUGGCUAGAGUCCGGAAGGGGCGAGUGGAAUUCCUGGUGUAGCGGUGAAAUGCGCAGAUAUCAGGAGGAACACCAAUGGCGAAGGCAGCUCGCUGGGACGGUACUGACACUGAGGGACGAAAGCUAGGGGAGCGAAUGGG